GGCAACCCAUCCUCUUCACCAAUCAGAAGACACAAUUCCACCUCAUCAUUACGUACACGCUUCGACGCAAAGAGUUUUGUCGGAGCUGCAGGUGGGGAGAGUCAGCAGAGGUUUACUAACCGUGUGGAUUUCGUUCUUUCUUACACUGUUAGCGGUGUGCGUCCAUGAGACUAAUCCACACCAUCAAUUCACCACACGGCAUACAACAUUUUACUGCACUGCAACUCCCCUCACCCUAUUAUGGAUGUGUAACUCUUGUUCAAUAAAUGAGUGAACAACAGAUACCUGAGUGAGAGUGUAUUUUGUGGAUGAGCCAUCUGUUCUUAUCAGACAACCCUGUUAAGAUUGUGGAUGCAUAGAAUCAGCACCUUAUCAUCUUCGUCAUUCAUAGUUCAGGAGGUCAUGUCUGUCUCUCUUGAAUUGACAUCCUCCAUUACAAAAUGAGUGUCACUGUACGAUCCUGAGGAUUUCUGAAACGGGUUUCUAACCUUAUGUUGCACAUUUUUAUUUAAAGACACUGCAUGGCCUUCAUCACCUUCCAGGUUAAAGCAGAACACUGUGUAACCAGCACCAAAAUCCUCCCAUGUUAUAGCCAGAGGUCUGUCAUUUUGGUGAUGCCCCGUAGUCUCUAUCAACUGGUGAUACUCUGACAUAUUGCCCUCUUUGAAAUAUUGGCUGGAACUGUUUAGCGGAGUAAGAGUGGCCAUCGACAUGCAGACACAUGAACUCGAUGGCGUAGUUUUCAAAAUUAAACGGAUUGCUUCUAUAACUCCCUGUAAAUUCCUCAUUAUCGACAAAAACAAGUACGACAGACUUAGGUAAAGUUCCCAUUAAUACAUGAUACAAGAAAUGCAUGUCCCUCCAGGCAUGGAGAAUGUUUUUUAAACACAUUAUCGGUGCUUAGCGUUAGCGUGUUGUAGAGGUUUGCUGUGUGCCAACCUGACAGUAGGUGAUACGCUCACCUUUUUUAUAAACAAGUUUGUUGACACUAAAUGCAGUGUUGCGCAUUCUGAUCAGCCAUGAGAGAAAGUUCAUCUGU
rnacentral:lncRNA from 1 species